rnacentral:rRNA from 1 species
GGCCUUGUAUAUAUGUAAGGUCUGGCCUGCCCACUGAUUUUUUGAAGGGCCGUGGUAUUUUAACCAUGCGAAGGUAGCAUAAUCAUUUGCCUCUUAAUUGGGGGCUAGUAUGAAGGGUCGUUCGAGGGAUUAACUGUCUCUAGCUCUUAUUUGAAAUUAAUUUUUUAGUGAAAAAGCUAAAAUAUACUUGAAGGACGAUAAGACCCUAUAGAUCUUUAUAAAAACAAAAUUAGAAAUUGGUUGUAAAUUCUUUUCAGUCCUUUUUAUUGAGUUGGGGCGACACUAGAUGUAGACUUAACAUCUAGUCUAUUUAUACACUAACAGGUGUCUAUGAGAUCCUGUUAUGAGAAAAGGAGAUAGUUACCUUAGGGAUAACAGCGUAAUGGUUUUUGAAAGUUCAAAUUGACAAAACCGUUUACGACCUCGAUGUUGGUUCAGGGACCCUGUUCAGCGCAGUAGCUUUAUAAGGGAGUCUGUUCGACUCUUAAAUCCCU